CCCCCCCCCCCCCCCCCCCCCCCCCCCCCCCCCCCCCCCCCCCCCCCCCCCCCCCCCCCCCCCCCCCCCCCCCCCCCCCCCCCGGCACCCGCCAAUCGCCGCCGACCGCUCCACCCGUCCUGCCAAUCACAGCCGAGGAAGGGGGCGGUGCCAGGGCCGGGGUGGGCGGUGGAGGGAGGAGGUUUGGUUGCGCCGUGCCGCCGCCGCAGUGCAGCACCGGUAUUCACGAACGAUGCUACGCCAGGGCCUGCCGGCGCCGCCGCGCAAACCAUCGGUGCUUGCGCAAGUGGCGUAGCCGCUUCAUGGCGGCCGCCCCCCCCCCCCCCCCCCCCCCCCCCCCCCCCCCCCCCCCCCCCCCCCCCCCCCCCCCCCCCCCCCCCCCCCCCCCCCCCCCCCCCCCCCUGGCGGCCGCUCGGCCGCCGCGUCCCCGUGCUGUUCGCUGCUGAGCUGCAGCCCUCACAGAGCUCCAGCGCCAGGGGAUUGCCGUGCGAGCUGUAGGCACGUUCACAGACGGGUACCUUAAUGUAUAUGUGCUAAUAUGGGUGUUUCACAGUGCUGUAACAAGGACAAAGGAGACACAGUACAAGACCAAAUUAAGAUGCAGUCAAUUCGUCUGUGUGAUAAUCUUUGCAACUGGGAAAGGAAGAUUAAGACAUAAAGUCGUUGUCUUCAUGGAAAAAUGCUGGAAUUGCCUCUGUGGAUGUGUGCUGAGCUCUGGCUGCAGGGACUGCCAGGCCUUUAUUGCUGUGAGUUCAUGUUCUUCUCACCGGGGAAUUGGAAAUAAUUAUAAACUAAUUGCAGAAAUGUUUUCUGAAACCCUUCCCCUUUGGUGCCCCACCGUGUGGGACAAGAGCAGAGAAGUAGAGGAGCAGCCUCAGGCUGGGGAGGGGCAGGAAAAAGCUACUGAGGGCAAAGGGAGCUCCCUGGGGGUAAAUGGAGGUGAGGAUGGACAGUUUGGGGCAAAAUCUGAGAUCAUCUACAGCGAAAUAAAUAAAGGAUUUUUUGAGGGAAAAACUGAGGUAAUGAGUUCAUCCACCUUGGUCCAAGUUGUGUUUGCACAAAGUGGGACCAGAGUUGAAGGUCAAUCCAAAGCCAACCCUGCACAGCCUCUAAAUCCCAGGAUAAAUUCUACAAGCUG
rnacentral:lncRNA from 12 species